rnacentral:tRNA from 1 species
ACCUUCGUGGUGCAGUGGUCAGCACGCUCGACGUGUAACCGAGAGGUCCGUGGUUCGAUUCUCGGCUAAAGGG